GACGAACGCUGGCGGCGUGCCUAAUACAUGCAAGUAGAACGCUGAAGAGAGGAGCUUGCUCUUCUUGGAUGAGUUGCGAACGGGUGAGUAACGCGUAGGUAACCUGCCUUGUAGCGGGGGAUAAAUAUUGGAAACGAUAGCUAAUACCGCAUAACAAUGGAUGACACAUGUCAUUUAUUUGAAAGGGGCAAUUGCUCCACUACAAGAUGGACCUGCGUUGUAUUAGCUAGUAGGUGAGGUAAUGGCUCACCUAGGCGACGAUACAUAGCCGACCUGAGAGGGUGAUCGGCCACACUGGGACUGAGACACGGCCCAGACUCCUACGGGAGGCAGCAGUAGGGAAUCUUCGGCAAUGGGGGCAACCCUGACCGAGCAACGCCGCGUGAGUGAAGAAGGUUUUCGGAUCGUAAAGCUCUGUUGUAAGUCAAGAACGGGUGUGAGAGUGGAAAGUUCUCACUGUGACGGUAGCUUACCAGAAAGGGACGGCUAACUACGUG
rnacentral:rRNA from 1 species